GUGGCAGCCGCCGCGGUAAUACGGAGGGUGCAAGCGUUAUCCGGAUUCAUUGGGUUUAAAGGGUGCGCAGGCGGAUAAUUAAGUUAGUGGUGAAAUCCCGGGGCUCAACCCCGGAACUGCCAUUGAUACUGAAUAUCUGGAAUACGGUUGAAGUGGGCGGAAUGUAGCAUGUAGCGGUGAAAUGCAUAGAGAUGCUACAGAACACCGAUCGCGAAGGCAGCUCACUAAGCCGAUAUUGACGCUCAGGCACGAAAGCGUUGGGAGCGAACAGGAUUAGAUACCCUGGUAGUCCACGCCGUAAACGAUGAUAACUCGUUGUUGGCGACACACAGUCAGCGACUAAGCGAAAGCGAUAAGUUAUCCACCUGGGGAGUACGAUCGCAAGGUUGAAACUCAAGGGAAUUGACGG
rnacentral:rRNA from 1 species